rnacentral:tRNA from 1 species
GAGGGUAUAGCUCAGUGGUGGAGCUUGUCCUUGGCAUGCAUAAGGUUCUGGGUUCAAUCCCCAGUACUGCCA